UACGGAGGGGGCUAGCGUUGUUCGGAAUUACUGGGCGUAAAGCGCACGUAGGCGGCUUUGCAAGUCAGAGGUGAAAGCCCGGGGCUCAACCCCGGAAUUGCCUUUGAGACUGCAUCGCUAGAAUUGUGGAGAGGUAAGUGGAAUUCCGAGUGUAGAGGUGAAAUUCGUAGAUAUUCGGAAGAACACCAGUGGCGAAGGCAGCUCACUGGCCCGGUACUGACGCUGAGGUGCGAAAGCGUGGGGAGCAAACAGG
rnacentral:rRNA from 1 species